rnacentral:rRNA from 1 species
AUGGAGGAGAAGAGGAAGCAGGAUGAAGGAAGGGACGAAUCGAGCUCCUUCGAUGCCAAGCGGUGUAGGUCUUGCCACUGCCAGAACGGGUUAGCUGUGGUUUCUCCUUGCUCCCUUUGCUGUUUUGCUCUGAUUUCUACUUUAAUUUCCUCUGUUUCCUUUACUCUAAGGGAGACGAGCAGGCCAAAUGACGGGAUGCCGCCUCGGGAGGGGUUUUCAGAUAUCGUCCGUGCGGUAAUCGAACUGAAAGACGUCAUACAGCUUCACCUGCGCAUGGAGGAAAACUUCAAAAGGAAAAUUCAAAAGCUUAAGGAAAAGAGGAAAAAAGACAAGAUCAAGCAUGAGGAAGAUCUCAGAGUACUCAAGGAAGACCUCAUCAGAAUAUUCAAGGAAGAUCACGAAGUGCUCAAAUCAAAAAUCCAAGAAAUGCAAAAAGAAGCGUGUACUGAAGUAAAUCAUUACAAGGCAUCUCCAUCUCAGAGAGCCAACAACAAACAAAAAGGGUCAAAAACCAUCUCCUCGAGUCCCAGCGCCAAACCUGGUACAUCCAACUAG